ACCUAGCAUUCAUCAUGCGCAUUUAUUUAAACAUGACCAAGUGACUGACAGAAAAUAAAUGAAUAUAAAUUAAAUUAAAAUAAAUUACAUGACAAUAUAAAUAAAGUAGCUACAAAGAUGACACAAAUAAACAGGACACUCACUUAUCUGCAACUGUCUUACAGCUUUUGUGCAAUAACACAGUGGUUGUGACACAACUGUAUCAAAACAGAACCAUCUGUUGACUCAAAUAAAUGGCAAAUUAAAAUAGUGCAAAUAAGUCAGUUUUUUUAACAUGGUCAGUAUAUUUUGAACAUACUAUGUAAACUGAAAAAUGCCCUCAAAAAAGUGGUGACAUUACAUCUUGUUUUUCUGGCAUUCUGAACUUCAUGUCAGUUUUGGUUUGUUUUUCCAUGAACACAAAAUAAAAAAGUGCUUAAGUCUAAACAGCUCUGAAUUACUUCUGAAAAUAAGCGUUUUCCUGAAACAUUAAUGCAAAAGAUCUUGUAAACUUCUGAACAAUAAUCACACUGUGUGACCUUUCAUCCCUUUUCUUACUUGUUGGAGAGAGUAAGAUUUUUCUGCAUGAAAAGGAGCUGAUCACACUCGCCACACUCUCCGCUGCCUGAAGCAAAGUUUCAAUGCUCUGUUUCAAACAUGCAUACAUGUUUGGAAUUGUCACUUCACUUAAUUGUUCACGAGUCGGCAAAACAUAACGUGGCUCCAGCGUUUUCACAAGAGUUCGGAAACCAUUGUUUUCAACGACACUGUAAGGUCGAAUGUCUUUGCAUAUGAAAACUGCAAUUGCCUCGGUUAUCUUCCGUGCACGUUGAGAGUUUGC